AGACGGAGUCUCUCCCUGUUGCCCAGGCUGGAGUGCAAUGACGUGAUCUCAGCUCACUGCAACCUCCGCCUCCUGGGUUCAAGCGAUUCUCCUGCCUCAGCUUCCCGAGUAGCUGGGAUUACAGGGCCUGCAACCACGCCCGGCUAAUUUUUUGUAUCUUUAGUAGAGACGGGAUUUCACCAUGUUGGCCAGGUCUCAAACUCCUGACCUAGUGAUCCGCCCGCCUCGGCCUCCCAAAGUGUUGAGAUUACAGGCGUGAGCCACUGCGCCCAGCCGGGUCUCUGGAAUCUUAGCUGCAGGUACCCCUCCUUUUAGGGGUUUGGAGGAAUAGUCUGGUCUCUCUAGCUCAGUGACAUUGCCAGCACUGGUCCUCUGCGAAAUGCUGCCUUUUCUGUGCUUGCCACUCAGGGUUCUGCUUUCAGCUCCGCCUUUUCUCUUCGCCCCUCCCCACCCCCACUGAUUUCCUUUGCUUCUAUGUACCAAGCAAUAUAAUUUGAAAAUUCUGUUUUACACAGAAUCUAGUUGUGUGAUAGAGAGGACCCUGCAAGUAUCUCACCCACCAUACUGAAGUCUCUGCUUUCAUCCAUUAUCGAAUUUUAUCCUUAUAGCUACUUUCACAAGUAGGCAUUUUCACCCUAAUUUUACACAUGAGGAAAGUGAGGGCCACAAAGGUCCAGUAACAUACCUAGGUGACACACCAAGUCAAGCACAGAGCUAGGACUUUGACUCCAAUCUGCUUGACUUUUAUUUUAUUUUCGAGACAGAGUUUCACUCUUUUUGCCCAGGCUGGAGUGCAAUGGCGCAAUCUCAGCUCACUGUAAAAUUCUCCUUUUGUUUCCCAAAUGACUCUCUCUUGUUCACUCUGUGGGUAGCACU
rnacentral:lncRNA from 10 species